rnacentral:rRNA from 1 species
GUCAGCGACUGGGGUGAAGUCGUAACAAGGUAGCCGUAGGGGAACCUGCGGCUGGAUCACCUCCUUUCU